rnacentral:rRNA from 1 species
ACGGAAGGCAGCAGUGGGGAAUAUUGCACAAUGGGGGAAACCCUGAUGCAGCGACGCCGCGUGAAGGAAGAAGUAUCUCGGUAUGUAAACUUCUAUCAGCAGGGAAGAAAAUGACGGUACCUGACUAAGAAGCCCCGGCUAACUACGUGCCAGCAGCCGCGGUAAUACGUAGGGGGCAAGCGUUAUCCGGAUUUACUGGGUGUAAAGGGAGCGUAGACGGAAUUGCAAGUCUGAUGUGAAAGGCAUGGGCUCAACCCGUGGACUGCAUUGGAAACUGUAAUUCUUGAGUGCCGGAGGGGUAAGCGGAAUUCCUGGUGUAGCGGUGAAAUGCGUAGAUAUCAGGAGGAACACCGGUGGCGAAGGCGGCUUGCUGGACAGUAACUGACGUUGAGGCACGAAAGCGUGGGGAGCAAACAGGAUUAGAUACCCUGGUA